UACAAUGGUGUUUAGGUGGGUGUCCC
rnacentral:piRNA from 1 species